CAACAGCUUGGUGCUACCCGUUAUUCCUUUAUUUACUCUAAAAUAAUAACGAUAAUACGAAAAUAAACUGGCCCAGUGUUUAAUUAUGUAAUUACAAAUUGCAAAUUUUAUUUUUUUAUUUAAUUUAAUUUUUUACAAAUUGCAAUAUUUAUCUACAGCGUGCCUUUAGCGACACAUCAACAGAUCUUAAGCAAGGCGAUUGGAUGGUUUUUACUGCAAUGCAUCUUGGGAGUCGUAGUAAAUGUAUCUUUCAACUCAUGUCCUGCAGCGAAUUUUUCGACUCGACACGAGGCAGAUCUUAGCUAAGUAAGUUGUGAUAAACUGUGGGUAAUUUGCAUGUUCACUGAAAUAUUAAUCAGCUGAUAUUAAACUUGAAAUGUUUUCACAGAGCAGUCUGUGUACCAAGAGAACUACUCCUGCAAAAGUUUAUCUAAAUUUUUUUUGUGAUGUAUUCUCAUGUGUAAGACACUUGCUUGGCCACCCAGCUAAUAAAUGACAAAGCCAAAAACCAAACCAUGCCCUUCCUGUCAGGCUCCAAACACCUGCAACAGGAAGACAUGCAGUGGAUGCCUGGGCAGCCUGAAUGUAAAGGAGGGAUUGAAAAAGAAACAAGAACAGUUUAAAAACAGCAACUGGGCUGCCUCUGUUAAAAAAAACAGAAAUGCGAGCAGGGUGGUUAAUUCAGCCCAGUUGUCAGUUUCAAAACUUCAUGCCCUGGGCUACCAGCCAAUUCUGUUUCUUUGACAGUUUGACCGUAAGGGCCGUAUAGUAGGGGACGUGAUCACUCAGAUCGAACCAGCGGAAGGUGCUGCACGUGACAUCCUCAUGAAGAUGAGGAAACUUUAUGAACACCUUCUGAGAAAAUUACAAGCUUCACCUCCUGCUAAAAGUUCUACACCAGCAGCUGGACCAUCCUCUGCUGACAAUGUCGAUGCUGGACCAGUCCCAGACCCAGAGGCUCUAAACGAGGAAUUUAUUCUUCAUUUAGAGCCUGUACCAACAUCUUCCCUCUGUCAACCUCCUGCAUCCUCCUCUUCAUCUCUGCUUCCUCCUGCAUCCUCCUCUCCAUCUCUGCUUCCUCCUGCAUCCUCCUCUUCAUCUCUGCUUCCUCCUGCAUCCUCCUCUCCAUCUCUGCUUCCUCGUGCAUCCUCCUCUCUGUCUUUGCUUCCUCCUGCAUCCUCCUCUCUGUCUUUGCUUCCUCCUGCAUCCUCCUCUCCAUCUCUGCUUCCUCCUGCAUCCUCCUCUUCAUCUGUGCUUCCUCCCGCAUCCUCCUCUCCAUCUCCGCUUCCUGCAUCUCCCUCAAUUUCUAUGGCGUACACCUCGGAUGUCCCAAACAAAAAAGGACAAGGAAAGGUUAGACGUUAUGUUAUUGUAAAUGUACGAAACACAUGA
rnacentral:lncRNA from 1 species